rnacentral:rRNA from 1 species
UCCUACGGGGGGCAGCAGUGAGGAAUAUUGGUCAAUGGGCGGGAGCCUGAACCAGCCAAGUCGCGUGAGGGACGACGGUCCUAUGGAUUGUAAACCUCUUUUGUCGGGAAACAAAGGCGUCCACGGGUGGGCGGAUGAGUGUACCCGAAGAAAAAGCAUCGGCUAACUCCGUGCCAGCAGCCGCGGUAAUACGGAAGGUCCGGGCGUUAUCCGGAUUUAUUGGGUUUAAAGGGAGCGUAGGCCGGCUUUUAAGUCAGCUGUGAAAGUCCGCGGCUCAACCGUGGAAUUGCAGUUGAAACUGGAGG